rnacentral:tRNA from 1 species
CUUAUAGCUCAGUGGUAGAGCGCCAGUCCUGUAAACUGAAGGUCCGUAGUUCAAUCCUUCGUGAG